GACGAACGCUGGCGGCGUGCCUAAUACAUGCAAGUCGAACGCAGUGGGGACGGGUGAGUAACACGUGGGUAACCUCCCAUCAGAGGGGAUAACAUUUGGAAACAGGUGCUAAACCGAAACCGAUGGAUGGACCCGCGGUGCAUUAGCUAGUUGGUGAGGUAACGGCUCACCAAGGCCACGAUGCCUAGCGGGCAUGAGAGGGUGAUCAGCCACACUGGAACGGAGACACGGCCCAGACUCCUACGGGAGGCAGCAGUAGGGAAUCUUCGGCAAUGGACGAAAGUCUGACCGAGCAACGCCGCGUGAGUGAAGAAGGUUUUCGGAUCUUAAACCUCUGUUGUUAGAGAGGCGGUAUCUAACCAGAAAGCCACGGCUAACUACGUGCCAGCAGCCGCGGUAAUAC
rnacentral:rRNA from 1 species